rnacentral:ncRNA from 1 species
UGUUGCAACAGUAAUCCUGAUCAGUACGAGAGGAACCGCAGGUCCAGACUCUGGGUGUCUGUUCUUGGCUGAGGAGCCAGUGAAGGGAAGCUGGCAUCCGUAGGAUCAUGACUGAAUGUCUCCAAGUCGGAAUCCCCCCUAAAAAGGUGGCA